rnacentral:lncRNA from 1 species
AGAGGUGUCUGUGCUUCCCAGCUAGACCGGAGCUCGCUGCAGCCCCUCACUUUUUCCCCGGUCCUGCUUCAGGCCCCACUUCCUCUCUGCAGGUGCUUAGGCCGAAAAUCAGGAAUCUCUUGAAUGAAUGCAUGAAGGUGGAGCCCUUUCCCUUAAUGCGCAGGUGAAAAGGGCACCUCGGUGGAUUCUACUAAAUUUAAUAGAAGACUUGAUGGAUUACAGAGGACUCCUGCUCCAGCUGUGGGGAACUCCAGCCCGCACUUUGCCUCCAGCCCGAUGGUGCAAGAUCCAGCUUCUCUUCAGCCUGGCAUCAAACGUCUUUUUGAUCAGCUUUUCAUCCAUUUUCUGAAAAUGUAGUGAUUGAGAGAUGUUCUGAAUCUUGCAGAAUUCUGUGUCGCACCCUGGCCACACAUCAAUGCAGGCCUGAACCUGACCCUGGGUGGACUCCCUGCUCUCUGCCAGCCCCUUUCUCACCCCUGGGUCCCCACGGCCCCUGGCUCUCUCCCCUCUGCUAGAAUCUCGCUGAGGGAUUGGUGGGGAGGGGGUGGUCACGCACUGGGUGGAGAUCUGGUGCCCCCUGGAGGCCGGACAGGAAGGGCCAGGGCGGACAAGGUCUUUGAGAACUCGGUGGCAUCCCGCUCCUGAUGGCCUGGGUCCCACCGCCCCUCCCCCAGCCUUCCUGACAGCAGAGGAGAUUGAUGGGGCGCUGCUCGAAUGUUCUUCAUCAGCGUCUUCAGUAAUAAGCUUCUCCAUUGGGUAACCGAUCCUAGUUUAGCAAAACCGUUUGUCAACCAUUUCCUCCCUUGAGCUUGAUAAGAACCCCGUGGGAGAGGAGAGAGGGGGGCCCCCCAGGAUCUGAAAAGCUGUGCCUCAGCCAAGUUCAUGAGUCACUGGCGAGGAGGCCUGUAGGUCAGCAAAGCCUAGGAGGUCAAGAGUGCCCACAUGGGGACCUACGGGCCUCAGGGCCGCAGGUUGCUGGGUUGGACCCUGGCUUGGAGCUCAGGAUAGAAACCCGGAAACCCCACAGGCAAAGAAGGAUGCAGAACAGAACAGGGCAGAACCAAGGACCCAGUGAGGGUGGCUGGCGUCAGAGCAAAUAUCAGAGUUCACAAGGUGAAAUAAUCCAAAAAUCUAUACAGAAAAAGCUAAUCAUUUUCUCCAAUCUCUCCCCCAAAGGUGUCUACUCCUGCAGGCUUACCUGUAACCUUUGUCACUCACUCUUCUGAUUCUGCAAACAUAUAAACCACGGAGCCACAGCCAAGAGAAUCUGGACUUGUUCGUUUUUCCUGAAAUAGGAUAUCUUAAAUAAUCCGUGGCUCAGCACUGCGCCCUUUUUUUUCUUUUCUUUUCUUUUUUUUUUUUUUUUUGAGACGGAGUCUCGCUCUGUUGCCCAGGCUGGAGUGCAAUGUCAUGAUCUUGGCUCACUGCAACCUCUGCCUCCUGGGUUCAAGCAACUCUCCUGCCUCAGCCUCCUGAGGAGCUGGGACUGCAGGUGCAAGACACCACGCCUGGCUAAUUUUUGUUAUUUUUAGUAGAGACAGUGUUUCACUAUGUUGGCCAGGCUGGUCUCGAACUCCUGACCUCAAAUGAUCUGCCUGCCUCGGCCUCCCAAAGUGCUGGGAUUACAGGCACAAGCCACAGCACCCAGCCUCACUGUGCCCUUUUCACUGGCAGGCAUUUUAUUGUCCCUACAGACCCAAGACGGGGUGGGGGAGACGUGCUUUGUGCUCACCUGGCUGGUUCAUGGGCAGGUGGCCUGGAGGACCCAGCCCUGGCAGCUGUGGGGUAGCUCCAGCCUGGGCCGGACAGCUUCUUUCAUCGCAGGCACCACUGCGGACAUUGCUGGGAGGAAGAGGAGGGAGAAGCGACGGGCUUCAUUAGGAACGGAAAUGCCAAGAUUAGUGAAAGAAUGAAAAGAGUCAAAACAGCCUAGAAAAGGCUUCAAUGAUCCUCAAACUGGAUGAUCGAAUCCCGAAUAAUUGGGAAUCAACAGUAAAGGCCAAAGCUUUCGAUGGAUUGGACGAGGCGCGUCCACCCUGGGGAGGGCCAUCAUUUUAUUCAGUCUACUGAUGCAAAUGCUUAUCUCUUCUGGAAACACCUUCACAGACAGACCCAGAAUAUAGUUGAACCAAAUACUGGGCACCUCAUGGCUCCAACAGGUUGACACAAAAAAUGAACCAUUGCAGAAAACGAAGAACAGUCACCAACUCCCACCCAUGCAGCUGGCUCAUUUGCUGGGCUGCCCUCCCCAGCAGGUGGCACAGGAAUCCCUGCCUUGGCAGGGAGGAGGCCUGGGGUGUGUGCAGGUACCCAUGGGAAGUUUCUUUGCCAUGGGGAAAGCCAGAGUCACCCCUUGCUUGAACACAAGAGUUGGAGGUUUCAGUGAGCUGAGAUUACGCUAUUGCACUCCAGCCUGGGCGGCAGAGUGAGACUCUGUCUCUAGAUAAAUAAAUUAAAUAAAUAAAUAAAUAUAAUUUAAUAUAAAUAACUAGAAAUUUUUCAAUACUUGCAUCUCUGUAGGUUACCUCUGGAAGUGCAGGGCUUUGUCUUUUUGGAUUAACUCAGAAAUUAGACCUUCAGAAA